rnacentral:rRNA from 1 species
AUUGAACGCUGGCGGCAGGCCUAACACAUGCAAGUCGAGCGAGCGGCGGACGGGUGAGUAAUGUCUGGGAAACUGCCCGAUGGAGGGGGAUAACUACCGGAAACGGUAGCUAAUACCGCAUACUAUCAGAUGUGCCCAGGUGGGAUUAGCUAGUAGGUGGGGUAACGGCUAUCCUAGGCGACGAUCCCUAGCUGGACUGAGAGGAUGACCAGCCACACUGGAACUGAGACACGGUCCAGACUCCUACGGGAGGCAGCAGUGGGGAAUAUUGCACAAUGGGCGAAAGCCUGAUGGAGCCAUGCCGCGUGUAUGAUGAAGGCCUGCGGGUUGUAAAGCACUUUCAGCAGGGAGGCGUUACCCAAAGAAGAAGCACCGGCUAACUCCGUGCCAGCAGCCGCGGUAAUAC